AUUGAACGCUGGCGGCAGGCCUAACACAUGCAAGUCGAACGAGUGGCGGACGGGUGAGUAAUGUCUGGGAAACUGCCCGAUGGAGGGGGAUAACUACUGGAAACGGUAGCUAAUACCGCAUACCAUCGGAUGUGCCCAGAUGGGAUUAGCUUGUAGGUGAGGUAACGGCUCACCUAGGCGACGCUCCCUAGCUGGUCUGAGAGGAUGACCAGACAAACGGGAACGGAGACACGGGCCAGACUACUACGGGAGGCAGCAGUGGGGAAUAUGGCACAAUGGGCGCAAGCCUGAUGCAGCCAUGCAGCGUGUAUGAAGAAGGCCGUCGGGUUGUAAAGUACUGUCAGCGGGGAGGCGUUACCCGCAGAAGAAGCACCGGCGAACUCCGUGCCAGAAGCCGCGGUAAUUC
rnacentral:rRNA from 1 species